rnacentral:lncRNA from 1 species
GGAACAUGGAAUCCGAACAACUGGAUGAAAGAUGAUGGCGGUUCGUUCAGUCUCAUAUCAUGUAAAUGUUCCUGAUCUGCCAAACGUCAAAGAAAGAUGAGGAAAAGAAUUUUCGCUGUAAGUAUUGCACUUAAAGAAGCAUUGUAGAAGCCUAAACUAAUUCUUAUCUUUUCUUGAACAUCAUACAGUUUAUAUUUUAGCUACUUUAUAGUUAAGUGGUAUAUUUGUUAAUGCUUUGAAAAAGCUUCAAAUUUGCUUCAGUUUUACUUUACAGUAAUUUGUACAUAAUUUAAGCAUAUCGACAAUAGUGCUUUUAUUCUAAAUGCAGUCAGCUACAAUAAAUUCUAAACCGCAUGUUUUCAAGACAUUUUAAAUAAAAUAAAAAAAUAAUAAAGAUCCUGAGUUUGCUAUGGUAGCCAUACCAUCUGGUAAUGUAACCGCA